GUCUAAUUAGUGAAAUUUCAAAUUAAUUAGUAUAAUUGUUUUUUUUUCCUCUUUGUAUUUGUUAGUGGUUCCAGGGAUUUGAGGCAUGCUGGUUUUCCAGAUGCACAAAACCCUCAAAAUAUUGAUGGUGGUUGAAACUUUAUUGAAAUAAGAUCAUGUAUAUGUAUUGAUAUUGUUGUUAUUAUUGUUGUUAAUAAAAACUCUAAACCUGGGGAAGAUAAAGAAACCCAGAAUGACAAAAUCAGUGCUUCCAGUAGAGUUAGACUGCUGUUUUUCCUCUAAACACACGUAUUCAAAAUAGAAAAAGAAAAGAAAAAAAAAAGAAUUGUGAAAGUGAGAAUUGUUUUAAUUAUUUAUUCAUUUUCUUCCAUAACUAGUAUAGUUAUAUUCAUACUCAUACAUACAAACUUGAAAGGAGAUUAAAAUCGAGAGUUAAUUUUUCAAAUAAAGAAUGCAUCAGAAAACUGGAUACUUAUUUUAUUAAUGGAAAUACAAACUCUGAAAUUGAGAUCUUUUUCUGAUAACAGAAUUACUAGGGAAGCUUAUAUCCUUAUGUUUAAUAAUUUGUGAAGUAUUGAUACCUUCCUAGAAAUAUAGGAAUGAACAGAUAUGCUUUUUUGCCCUUUCUAAAUCUGGUUUUAUAAUCAGACUUAGACAGUGUUUAGGAAAUUAAAUGACUGGGCACUCUCUUCUGGUUUUAUACCACAGAGAUGUUGAAUGGAAGCAGGCUGAGCAAAGCCAAAGAGGCAAGGGGUGUGAGCCCAGUUCUUCUCCCCUAUGCAUUCCCUUUCUUAGCUUCCAUUAGGUAUAGCCUUGGAAACCAGAAACUUCCAUGGCUAUAGAUUUGGUGAGAUAUUUCUCAUCACAUUCUAAAUUCUUUCUUUGAAUGGAUGGGCAGAACUAUAGGUUUAUAAAGCUCAUAUGUGAUUCUUCUGAAAAGCAAAAUAUGUCCUCCUAGAACUGCAAGAUAUCUGUCCCGAUUUAUCAUCAGUCAAAAAUUUUUCCCUCAGAAAAAGAAAGAUUUGAUUUUAUUUGAACUUAUACAGUGAUAUGGCAUUUUCAUAUGUUUGCCAGACUGGUUAUUUUAUAUUGUGGCCAUAUUCUGUUAAAAGGUGACUAUUAAUUUUCUAGCUAUAGCUUUAAUAUACACACUUGUAAUUGUAUUCAAACACUGUGUAUCUCAUUUGCUAAAUACAUAUACAUUCAUUUCUCAAACUUUUUCUCCAAGUUUUAACUAAUACUGUGUCAGUGUAUUAAAGCUAACUUUUACAUAUGAUACAAACAAUGUAAACAAUUUAGAGGAUAAAUUUUAUGUAGUCUCAUUUAGUAAUUUAACAUUUUAUUUUUAGUUACACAAAUUUGGUUAGAAAAUAUAUUGUUAAAUGAUGAGUGGUAUUGUGCAAUGGUGACAGUAUGAAGAGCUUCUGCCUUCUCAAAUUAAUGUUUGUCACACACUUUCAUUGAAAUGGUAAAAUAGUAGACUAAAUAGAUCCUAUGUUGGGCAGUCCUUAAAAUUCAAUCAUCUCAUAUACAAAAGAUAACUUUCACUCCUGAGUAAAUUACAUGACAUUUACCCCUAAGCAUAUUCAAAAUUUUCUUGAAAUUUUUAUUAAGGCUUAAUAUAGAUAUAUAUAAUAUACAUUUAUAAAGUUGUGAUUUCCUUUGUAUUCUUCUGAUUUAUGAUUCGUUAUAGUUAUAGUUGGGUUUUUUUCUUUUUGUUUUUGUAAGCCGGGUUCUCAUUACAUUGAAGUGAAAAUUUUUCUCACAAAUGUAGGGUAAUAUUUUUGGUAUUUCCAAGUGGCCCAAUUGGCCAACAUACUAUGGGAGCAGAGCAAGUGACUAUAUACAGACAGCGACAUUUUUAUAACAUGUGCCAAUUAUCUCACUACAGAAUCUUCGACAGGAAAGUUAAUAUAUUCGUCCACAGUAGCUUUCUUACAGUAACCACCAAUGUGCUUUCCAUAAAUAUGAUUGUUAUAAGCACUGCAAGUUUACAACAGUAAGACUGGAAAAGAAAAGGCUGCUCAUAAAAAUGUGUGUGCACAAAUUAUAAAAAGAAGGCAAUUGUUUUGUGAUUGUAUAUGAUAAUUUUAAGAAUAAAAAUUGUGAAAUUUAUGCUGUCCCUGCUUAAAAUAUUUGAAAAAUUUGAACUGUGUAUUUAUGUUUGUAUUGGGGAAGACUCCUCCUCUGUGACAUCAUACAGCUUCUAAAAGUUAACAGUAUCCCAAAGUAUGGGAUGCUUUGGAAGUGAAGGACUGGAUAAUUUUUGGACCAGUAUGGCAGUAUGUAGUCCAGUGGCAACUGUGUAUUAAUUGUUCUAUUUCAGGUUCUGUAUUGCAUGUUUUCUUAUUCAUAAAUAUAGAUAUUAAUAAAGUAGUUAUGAGAA
rnacentral:lncRNA from 1 species